CCAUGCAGUCGAGCGGGGAAUGUGCUUCGCUAACUGACCUAGCGGCGGACGGGUGAGUAAUGCUUAGGAAUCUGCCUAUUAGUGGGGGACAACAUUCCGAAAGGAAUGCUAAUACCGCAUACGCCCUACGGGGGAAAGCAGGGGAUCUUCGGACCUUGCGCUAAUAGAUGAGCCUAAGUCGGAUUAGCUAGUUGGUGGGGUAAAGGCCUACCAAGGCGACGAUCUGUAGCGGGUCUGAGAGGAUGAUCCGCCACACUGGGACUGAGACACGGCCCAGACUCCUACGGGAGGCAGCAGUGGGGAAUAUUGGACAAUGGGCGCAAGCCUGAUCCAGCCAUGCCGCGUGUGUGAAGAAGGCCUUUUGGUUGUAAAGCACUUUAAGCGAGGAGGAGGCUCCUUUAGUUAAUACCUAAAGUGAGUGGACGUUACUCGCAGAAUAAGCACCGGCUAACUCUGUGCCAGCAGCCGCGGUAAUACAGAGGGUGCGAGCGUUAAUCGGAUUUACUGGGCGUAAAGCGUGCGUAGGCGGCUUUUUAAGUCGGAUGUGAAAUCCCUGAGCUUAACUUAGGAAUUGCAUUCGAUACUGGAGAGCUAGAGUAUGGGAGAGGAUGGUAGAAUUCCAGGUGUAGCGGUGAAAUGCGUAGAGAUCUGGAGGAAUACCGAUGGCGAAGGCAGCCAUCUGGCCUAAUACUGACGCUGAGGUACGAAAGCAUGGGGAGCAAACAGGAUUAGAUACCCUGGUAGUCCAUGCCGUAAACGAUGUCUACUAGCCGUUGGGGCCUUUGAGGCUUUAGUGGCGCAGCUAACGCGAUAAGUAGACCGCCUGGGGAGUACGGUCGCAAGACUAAAACUCAAAUGAAUUGACGGGGGCCCGCACAGCGGUGGAGCAUGUGGUUUAAUUCGAUGCAACGCGAGAUCUUACCUGCCUUGACAUA
rnacentral:rRNA from 1 species